rnacentral:lncRNA from 1 species
UAUCUUUACAAUAUUGCUGUUACUGUCCUAAAUUGUUCUCCUGAUUCUGCUCACUUCACUUUCUAUCGAUUCAUACAGGUCUUCCUAUAUUUUUCUGAAAUAAUCUAAAGGGGAUUCUCUAACUCUACAUCAGAUUGAAGUUUAGUACAGACUCAAUGAGCCUGCUAGCUGUAGGAAAUGAAAGAAAACUGGGACAAAAUACCUGUGGGCUCUAAUUAGCUGACUCCCUAUUUUGCAUUCCAAGAGGAACUUAAGACACAGGAAGCAAAGAAAGCUUGGAGAUCUGCUCUCAUGAAGAGCAAGUAGCUUAAGUUUCUCUUUCUCCUUGACUGAUGCUUAGGUGUGGCAAGCCCUAAAAGACCCAAAGCUCAAGAUCUAGUGCUAAGCUCAAGGAGAAUUGGAAAAACCUAUUCUUUUCAGGGAUUCUGAGGACUCCAAUUGAAGUCAAGAAAGAGGAAGAGACGUAAAGGUAGGGAACAGCAGAGAUGUGGCAAAAAACACGUAAGUGAAGACACAGCUGAGAGCCAAGUGUGGAGAACAGGCCAAGAAAAGACCAGAGAGAUGCUAUCACCAGAAGUCACUGAUGGCCUUGGAGCAUGGGACGUCUGAAUUGCCUUUCUAUGCAUAUACUUUGGCUAGAGAUGUUCCCUCCUCUGUGCCAGCAGACACAAUCCUACUCUUCUCACUGAAGGUUACCAGUGUCCUUAUGAUGGCCGAAUCAAUGAUUUUCAAUCCUCAUCCUCCUUGACAUCAGUGUAGCUGACUUUUCUCAAACUUUAAAACUCCAUCCAAAUGGAUAUACUUUCUUCCUUUUGCUUCAAAGACUCCCAUGAAGAAGAUGCUGAUCUUCUUCAACCACAACUUCAUUGACAACUCCAUCUUCCCUAGAACAGUUUCCAAUAUGUGAGUAUCCUUGAGGUUCUCUCCUUGGCCCUCUUCUCUCUCUCUAUUCUCUACUAUAUGUCCCUUAACCUUUAAAAACAAAAACGAAACAAAAAGAAACCUCUAC